rnacentral:rRNA from 1 species
UUAAGCGACUAAGCGUACACGGUGGAUGCCCUGGCAGUCAGAGGCGAUGAAGGACGUGCUAAUCUGCGAAAAGCGCCGGCGAGGUGAUAUGAACCUUUGACCCGGCGAUGUCCGAAUGGGGAAACCCAGUGUGAUUCGUCACACUAUCGUUAACUGAAUACAUAGGUUAACGAGGCGAACCGGGGGAACUGAAACAUCUAAGUACCCCGAGGAAAAGAAAUCAACCGAGAUUCCCCCAGUAGCGGCGAGCGAACGGGGAGCAGCCCAGAGUCUGAAUCAGCUUGUGUGUUAGUGGAAGCGUCUGGAAAGUCGCACGGUACAGGGUGACAGUCCCGUACACGAAAAUGCACAGGUUGUGAACUCGAAGAGUAGGGCGGGACACGUGGUAUCCUGUCUGAAUAUGGGGGGACCAUCCUCCAAGGCUAAAUACUCCUGACUGACCGAUAGUGAACCAGUACCGUGAGGGAAAGGCGAAAAGAACCCCGGCGAGGGGAGUGAAAAAGAACCUGAAACCGUGUACGUACAAGCAGUGGGAGCACCUUCGGGUGUGACUGCGUACCUUUUGUAUAAUGGGUCAGCGACUUAUAUUCUGUAGCAAGGUUAACCGUAUAGGGGAGCCGAAGGGAAACCGAGUCUUAACUGGGCGUUAAGUUGCAGGGUAUAGACCCGAAACCCGGUGAUCUAGCCAUGGGCAGGUUGAAGGUUGGGUAACACUAACUGGAGGACCGAACCGACUAAUGUUGAAAAAUUAGCGGAUGACUUGUGGCUGGGGGUGAAAGGCCAAUCAAACCGGGAGAUAGCUGGUUCUCCCCGAAAGCUAUUUAGGUAGCGCCUCGUGAACUCAUCUUCGGGGGUAGAGCACUGUUUCGGCUAGGGGGCCAUCCCGGCUUACCAACCCGAUGCAAACUACGAAUACCGAAGAAUGUUAUCACGGGAGACACACGGCGGGUGCUAACGUCCGUCGUGAAGAGGGAAACAACCCAGACCGCCAGCUAAGGUCCCAAAGUCAUGGUUAAGUGGGAAACGAUGUGGGAAGGCACAGACAGCCAGGAUGUUGGCUUAGAAGCAGCCAUCAUUUAAAGAAAGCGUAAUAGCUCACUGGUCGAGUCGGCCUGCGCGGAAGAUGUAACGGGGCUAAACCAUGCACCGAAGCUGCGGCAGCGACACUAUGUGUUGUUGGGUAGGGGAGCGUUCUGUAAGCCGUUGAAGGUGGCCUGUGAGGGUUGCUGGAGGUAUCAGAAGUGCGAAUGCUGACAUAAGUAACGAUAAAGCGGGUGAAAAGCCCGCUCGCCGGAAGACCAAGGGUUCCUGUCCAACGUUAAUCGGGGCAGGGUGAGUCGACCCCUAAGGCGAGGCCGAAAGGCGUAGUCGAUGGGAAACAGGUUAAUAUUCCUGUACUUGGUGUUACUGCGAAGGGGGGACGGAGAAGGCUAUGUUAGCCGGGCGACGGUUGUCCCGGUUUAAGCAUGUAGGCGGAACGAUUAGGUAAAUCCGGUCGUUUAUUAACGCUGAGGUGUGAUGACGAGGCACUACGGUGCUGAAGUAACAAAUGCCCUGCUUCCAGGAAAAGCCUCUAAGCAUCAGGUAACAUUAAAUCGUACCCCAAACCGACACAGGUGGUCAGGUAGAGAAUACCAAGGCGCUUGAGAGAACUCGGGUGAAGGAACUAGGCAAAAUGGUGCCGUAACUUCGGGAGAAGGCACGCUGAUAUGUAGGUGAAGCCCCUGCGGGUGGAGCUGAAAUCAGUCGAAGAUACCAGCUGGCUGCAACUGUUUAUUAAAAACACAGCACUGUGCAAACACGAAAGUGGACGUAUACGGUGUGACGCCUGCCCGGUGCCGGAAGGUUAAUUGAUGGGGUUAGCGGCAACGCGAAGCUCUUGAUCGAAGCCCCGGUAAACGGCGGCCGUAACUAUAACGGUCCUAAGGUAGCGAAAUUCCUUGUCGGGUAAGUUCCGACCUGCACGAAUGGCGUAAUGAUGGCCAGGCUGUCUCCACCCGAGACUCAGUGAAAUUGAACUCGCUGUGAAGAUGCAGUGUACCCGCGGCAAGACGGAAAGACCCCGUGAACCUUUACUAUAGCUUGACACUGAACACUGGUCUUUGAUGUGUAGGAUAGGUGGGAGGCUUUGAAGUGUGGACGCCAGUCUGCAUGGAGCCGUCCUUGAAAUACCACCCUUUAAUGGCUGGUGUUCUAACGUAGACCCGUGAUCCGGGUUGCGGACAGUGUCUGGUGGGUAGUUUGACUGGGGCGGUCUCCUCCCAAAGAGUAACGGAGGAGCACGAAGGUUAGCUAAUCCUGGUCGGACAUCAGGAGGUUAGUGCAAUGGCAUAAGCUAGCUUGACUGCGAGAGUGACGGCUCGAGCAGGUGCGAAAGCAGGUCAUAGUGAUCCGGUGGUUCUGAAUGGAAGGGCCAUCGCUCAACGGAUAAAAGGUACUCCGGGGAUAACAGGCUGAUACCGCCCAAGAGUUCAUAUCGACGGCGGUGUUUGGCACCUCGAUGUCGGCUCAUCACAUCCUGGGGCUGAAGUAGGUCCCAAGGGUAUGGCUGUUCGCCAUUUAAAGUGGUACGCGAGCUGGGUUUAGAACGUCGUGAGACAGUUCGGUCCCUAUCUGCCGUGGGCGCUGGAGAAUUGAGGGGGGCUGCUCCUAGUACGAGAGGACCGGAGUGGACGCAUCACUGGUGUUCGGGUUGUCAUGCCAAUGGCACUGCCCGGUAGCUAAAUGCGGAAAAGAUAAGUGCUGAAAGCAUCUAAGCACGAAACUUGCCCCGAGAUGAGUUCUCCCUGAGACUUUAAGUCUCCUGAAGGAACGUUGAAGACGACGACGUUGAUAGGUCGGGUGUGUAAGCGCAGCGAUGCGUUGAGCUAACCGAUACUAAUGAACCGUGAGGCUUAACCUU